UACGGAGGAUGCAAGCGUUAUCCGGAAUUAUUGGGCGUAAAGCGUCCGCAGGUGGCUAAUCAAGUCUGCGGUCAAAGACUGGGGCUUAACCCUGGAAAGGCCGUGGAAACUGAUAGAGCUAGAGUACCGUAGGGGUAGAGGGAAUUCCCGGUGUAGCGGUGAAAUGCGUAGAGAUCCGGAGGAAUACCAGAGGCGAAGGCGGCACCCUGGGUCUGACCUGACACUGAUCCGCGACAGCAUGGGGAGCGAACGGG
rnacentral:rRNA from 1 species